AAUGUUGCAGUAUCUACAACUAAUACUACUAAUCCUUGUAAGAAUAAUAGUUGCUGUGUAAAUGUUACAUUGAAUAUAACACUGGAAUCAUCAGAUCAUGCAGAUGUGAAACAUCCAAGUCAGUACUAUAACAUAUCAUACAGUUCCAAUACUGGAGAAGUAUCAUAUAAUAUAACUGAUUAUGAUAAAACAAAAUGGACUGGAAGGUUAAAAUACAAUAAGAGGUAUUACUUUACAAUCAUACCGAUGAAUGAUUUCAUUGCAGGAGAACAAAUAAAUAACAAUACAAUGACUUCUAAAUAUCAUUGUCAAUCAUCGGGAAAUGGCGGUUUAUUGGUUUGGAAAUAUGUUAUAAU